UACGUAGGGUGCGAGCGUUGUCCGGAAUUAUUGGGCGUAAAGGGCUCGUAGGCGGUUUGUCGCGUCGGGAGUGAAAACAUCCAGCUUAACUGGGGGCUUGCUUUCGAUACGGGCAGACUUGAGGUAUGCAGGGGAGAGUGGAAUUCCUGGUGUAGCGGUGAAAUGCGCAGAUAUCAGGAGGAACACCGGUGGCGAAGGCGGUUCUCUGGGCAUUACCUGACGCUGAGGAGCGAAAGUGUGGGGAGCGAACAGG
rnacentral:rRNA from 1 species